rnacentral:rRNA from 1 species
AAGGCUACGUUUCGGAUAUUGGGUUUAAGGGUCCGUAGGCGGGCUAAUAAGUCAGAGGUGAAAUCCCACAGCUUAACUGUGGCACUGCCUUUGAUACUGUUAGUCUUGAGUCAUAAUGAAGUAGAUGGAAUGUGUAGUGUAGCGGUGAAAUGCAUAGAUAUUACACAGAACACCGAUUGCGAAGGCAGUCUACUAAUUAUGUACUGACGCUAAUGGACGAAAGCGUGGGUAGCGAACAGGAUUAGAUACCCUGGUAGUCCACGCCGUAAACGAUGGAUACUAGCUGUUGGUUUCACUUCGGUGGAAUCAGUGGCCAAGCAAAAGUGAUAAGUAUCCCACCUGGGGAGUACGUUCGCAAGAAUGAAACUCAAAGGAAUUGACGGGGGCCCGCACAAGCGGUGGAGCAUGUGGUUUAAUUCGAUGAUACGCGAGGAACCUUACCAGGGCUUAAAUGUAGAGUGCAUUAGGUAGAGAUACUUAUUUCUUCGGACUCUCUACAAGGUGCUGCAUGGUUGUCGUCAGCUCGUGCCGUGAGGUGUCAGGUUAAGUCCUAUAACGAGCGCAACCCCUAUCGUUAGUUGCCAGCAAGUAAAGUUGGGGACUCUAGCGAGACUGCCGGUGCAAACCGUGAGGAAGGUGGGGAUGACGUCAAAUCAUCACGGCCCUUACGUCCUGGGCUACACACGUGCUACAAUGGUAGGUACAGCGAGCAGCCACUCCNCGAGGAGGANCAAUCUAUAAGCCUAUCACAGUUCGGAUC